rnacentral:rRNA from 1 species
CGCUUAGGCGUGUGACUGCGUACCUUUUGUAUAAUGGGUCAGCGACUUAUAUUCUGUAGCAAGGUUAACCGAAUAGGGGAGCCGAAGGGAAACCGAGUCUUAACUGGGCGUUAAGUUGCAGGGUAUAGACCCGAAACCCGGUGAUCUAGCCAUGGGCAGGUUGAAGGUUGGGUAACACUAACUGGAGGACCGAACCGACUAAUGUUGAAAAAUUAGCGGAUGACUUGUGGCUGGGGGUGAAAGGCCAAUCAAACCGGGAGAUAGCUGGUUCUCCCCGAAAGCU